rnacentral:rRNA from 1 species
CCUACGGGAGACAGCAGUGGGGGAUAUUGCACAAUGGGGGAAACCCUGAUGCAGCGACGCCGCGUGAGUGAAGAAGUAUUUCGGUAUGUAAAGCUCUAUCAGCAGGGAAGAAAAUGACAGUACCUGACCAAGAAGCCCCGGCUAACUACGUGCCAGCAGCCGCGGGAAUCAGUAGGGGGCAAGCGUUAUCCGGAUUUAAUGGGUGUAAAGGGAGCGUAGACGGUUAUGUAAGUCUGGAGUGAAAGCCCGGGGCCCAACCCCGGGACUGCUUUGGAAACUGUGUAACUGGAGUGCAGGAGGGGCAGGCGGAAUUCCUGGUGUAGCGGUGAAAUGCGUAGAUAUCAGGAGGAACACCGGCGGCGAAGGCGGCCUGCUGGACUUAAACUGACGUUGAGGCUCGAAAGCGUGGGGAGCAAACAGGAUUAGAUACCCGGGUAGUC